rnacentral:rRNA from 1 species
GAUGAACGCUGGCGGCGUGCCUAAUACAUGCAAGUCGAGCGAACAGACGAGGAGCUUGCUCCUCUGACGUUAGCGGCGGACGGGUGAGUAACACGUGGAUAACCUACCUAUAAGACUGGGAUAACUUCGGGAAACCGGAGCUAAUACCGGAUAAUAUAUUGAACCACAUGGUUCAAUAGUGAAAGACGGUUUUGCUGUCACUUAUAGAUGGUUCCGCGCCGCAUUAGCUAGUUGGUAAGGUAACGGCUUACCAAGGCAACGAUGCGUAGCCGACCUGAGAGGGUGAUCGGCCAAACUGGACCUGAGACACGGUCCAGACUCCUACGGGAGGCAGCAGAAGGGAAUCUUCCGCAAUGGGCGAAAGCCGGACGGAGCAACGCCGCGUGAGGGAUGAAGGUCUUCGGAUCGUAAAACUCUGUGAUUAGGGAAGAACAAAUGUGGAAGUAACUAUGCACGUCUUGACGGUACCUAACCAGAAAGCCACGGCUAACUACGUG